rnacentral:lncRNA from 1 species
GGCUGAUGAUUAAGCUGAAAACACUGUAAAGGAAAAUCUUCAACAGAUUCCAAUCUCCAAAGAGAUAGUUGAAGGAAGAGCUUAGACCAUAACAGAGCAAUCCAACAAUGGAUGAAACAAAACCCACAAACCUCCACAACUUUGGCUGCAUCAACCAUUUCCAAAUUUGGAUUAGAAUAUGCAUCAUGUUGUCUAAAGUGUCUAUGAAUUGAUUUCACAGACAGAAUGAGAAUAACUUUGGUUAUGAGAAGCUCUCUCUAUUUCAGCAGAAAUUAUGAGGCAAUUAGGGACCAAAGCUGUUUAUCAUCUCCAGGAAAGUUCCAAAGAUUUUUCCAUUUUUUUAUGGUUUUAAGAUAUUUCCAAUCAGUUACCAUGAAAGUUCCAAACCAAGUCAAGGAAAAUCUCAUCUCCA